AGUUCAUGAUGUGGAAAUUUCCUUAACAAGUCUCUAAUUCUUUCUCAAGUUUCAUAUAAUGACUCACAAUCAUGUUGACAAAAACUAGUUAUACGCAUUCUAUAUUU